rnacentral:rRNA from 1 species
CCCUUGGACGUUCUGGGCCGCACGCGUGCUACACUGACCGGUGCAACGAGUGUCUCUACCUCCGCCGUUAGGUGGUUGUUACUGGGUAAUCUUGGAACGCCGGUCGUGCUGGGGAUAGAUGAUUGCAAUUGUUGAUCUUGAACGAGGAAUUCCUAGUAAACGCGAGUCAUCAUCUCGCAUUGAUUACAGUCCCUGCCCUUUGUACACACCGCCCGUCGCACCUACCGAUUGGAUGGUCCGGUGAACCGUGAGUACUGGGGGGUCUUCUUAUGGCCCUCUGGCGAUCGCGCUGAACCUUACCAUCUAGAGGAAGGUGAAGUCGUAACA